GCGUCGGUCAGCCUACUAACGAAUAGCGCAAAGGAAUACCAUCGCUACAAAAUCGCGGUCUUUAAAUUAUUACGCAAAUUUUGUGCACAAUGAGAUGUUAUAAACACACCUUGCAUGUACAUGAAAAAAAGGUUUACAACAGAGAUGACAUAUAUGCAUGGGCACAUAUAUGUGUCAAUAAAAUACUCGAGCCUCUUUCUGCCUACAGAAAAAGAAGUUAUGUCUUCUCGAGGGCAUGGCUGCUUGUAAUAAUGAACCUCUAAGGGAAGGUUUUCUCUAAUCCCUAUUUUUGAUAUCUAAAUGCUUAUGUGGCAUGUACAAACUGCUUGCAUCCAUUUCUCAUUGGGAUGAGCUGUCUGAAAUUUAUUUUCAGUAAUAAUUGCAAUAAUUAACUACUUUCACCUGUCUUCUAAUGACUAAAGUUCUAUGCUUCUACCUUGACAAACCUUUUGUGAAAUUAGUUUGAUGAGGCCCAAUAUACAGCGCUUUCUAAAUUGAAGGUAUCAGUACCUAUUAAAGACUACGCUAACUAUGAAAAUGCUGCUUGCGUAUAUUGUUUAUUCACUCUGUCAGACAAAAUCUUUACACCCAAGUGCAGUCAGUAAAUUUAAAAGUGCAUGCCUGCAAGGGGAAGUCAGAAUUGUAUUUGAAGACAAUUGCAUCUUGUUUGAUAGUUCUCGAGCACUUGUGCGCCACUAAUCGAGCACAGCUUGGCCCUAUACUCGAUGAGGCUUGAAGCUUUCAAUGUCUGCUAAUCACUAAAACAGCACCAGAUCUCACUCUGUGUCAAGGGGUGGCACACAUUUGCUUAGUUCUAGGCAGAUGCAUGUCUUUCUUUCGCAUUGAAGUUCCCAAUACUUUCUAGUCUUACGUAAAAGUACACAGCUCAGUACAAUGCAUGUAUGGUAUACGUAAGGCUGCUUUGUUCUUUAAACCGAAUCAACAAGAAGCAGCGACUUCCGUUUUUGCAAACCUUACCCUACUUCCUAACCAUUCCUUGAUCAAAUGCGUAUAAAAUGAAUCUUUGGUUGUUGUAUUCUUUCACAGGUAGACAUCGGUGACGGUGUAUACGUUGAAAAGGGCCUGCUGAAGAGGCUGUGCCUGGAUGCUAACAACUCAGGCUUUCACUUCGCGGAGGGCCUCCUUAAAGCUCCUUUUUCAAUAGAAGACGUUGAAGGGAGGUCCUUCUUUGGGCGGCUGUCAAAUGCCUUCCACAGAAGGAUCCGUUGGAUUCCAAGAAGGUCAACACCAUAGUAGACUACACAACGCAACAUUUCAGCCUACUUCCAGGGCAGCUGGAGAACUCGUCCUCCUUACUAGCCCGGGGAUAUUAAAUGGAUGUGUUCAAGCACAAA